rnacentral:ncRNA from 2 species
AGCUUAUCAAGAAAGGUGGAGGGACUGGCCCAGUGAAACCUUGGCAACCGGAACGUUAGUUUAUCGGUGCCAAUUCCAGCAGGUGUUAUCCUGAAAGAUAAGAA